AUUGAACGCUGGCGGCAUGCCUUACACAUGCAAGUCGAACGGUAACGGGCCUUCGGGUGCCGACGAGUGGCGAACGGGUGAGUAAUACAUCGGAACGUGCCCGAUCGUGGGGGAUAACGAGGCGAAAGCUUUGCUAAUACCGCAUACGAUCUACGGAUGAAAGCAGGGGACCGCAAGGCCUUGCGCGGACGGAGCGGCCGAUGGCAGAUUAGGUAGUUGGUGGGAUAAAAGCUUACCAAGCCGACGAUCUGUAGCUGGUCUGAGAGGAUGAUCAGCCACACUGGGAGGUGGACACGGCCCAGACGCCUGCGGGAGGCAGCAGAGGGGAAUUUUGGGCAAUGGGCGCAAACCUGGUCCAGCCAUGGCGCGUGCAGGAUGAAGGCCUUCGGGUUGGAAACUGCUUUUGUGCGGAACGAAAAGCCUUCGUUUAAUACAGGGGGGUCAUGACGGUACCGGAAGAAUAAGCACCGGCUAACUACGUG
rnacentral:rRNA from 1 species